rnacentral:rRNA from 1 species
UACGGAGGGUGCAAGCGUUACUCGGAAUUACUGGGCGUAAAGGGCGCGUAGGCGGCCCUCUUUGUCGCGUGUGAAAGCCCCGGGCUCAACCUGGGAAUGGCGCGCGAAACGGGGGGGCUGGAGUUCGGGAGAGGAGCGUGGAAUUCCCAGUGUAGAGGUGAAAUUCGUAGAUAUUGGGAAGAACACCGGUGGCGAAGGCGGCGCUCUGGACCGAGACUGACGCUGAGGCGCGAAAGCGUGGGGAGCAAACAGG